rnacentral:rRNA from 1 species
GACGAACGCUGGCGGCGUGCCUAAUACAUGCAAGUAGAACGCACAGGAUGCACCGUAGUUUACUACACCGUAUUCUGUGAGUUGCGAACGGGUGAGUAACGCGUAGGUAACCUGCCUGGUAGCGGGGGAUAACUAUUGGAAACGAUAGCUAAUACCGCAUAAGAACAUUUACUGCAUGGUAGAUGUUUAAAAGGUGCAAAUGCAUCACUACCAGAUGGACCUGCGUUGUAUUAGCUAGUAGGUGAGGUAACGGCUCACCUAGGCGACGAUACAUAGCCGACCUGAGAGGGUGAUCGGCCACACUGGGACUGAGACACGGCCCAGACUCCUUCGGGAGGCAGCAGUAGGGAAUCUUCGGCAAUGGGGGGAACCCUGACCGAGCAACGCCGCGUGAGUGAAGAAGGUUUUCGGAUCGUAAAGCUCUGUUGUUAAGGAAGAACGAGUGUGAGAAUGGAAAGUUCAUACUGUGACGGUACUUAACCAGAAAGGGACGGCUAACUACGUG